GACUGGGUAGCUCAAAUGGUAGAGUAUCCGACAUGUCUUCGGGAGGUUCUAGGUUCGAACCCCAGUCCGAGCA
rnacentral:tRNA from 1 species